ACGCUGGCGGCAGGCCUAACACAUGCAAGUCGAGCGGAAACGAAGAGGUGCUUGCACCUCUGGCGUCGAGCGGCGGACGGGUGAUUAAUGCUUGGGAAUAUGCCUUAUGGUGGGGGACAACAGUUGGAAACGACUGCUAAUACCGCAUGAUGUCUACGGACCAAAGUGGGGGACCUUCGGGCCUCACGCCAUAAGAUUACCCCCAAGUGGGAUUAUCUAGUUGGUGAGGUAACGGCUCACCAAGGCGACGAUCCCUAGCUGGUUUGAGAGGAUGAUCACCCACACUGGGACUGACACACGGCCCAACUCCUACGGGAGGCAGCAGUGGGGAAUAUUGCACAAUGGGCGCAAGCCUGAUGCAACCCAUGCCGCGUGUG
rnacentral:rRNA from 1 species